GGUCUUGUGGUCUAGUGGUAUGAUUCUCGCUUAGGGUGUACCCUGAGUACUUUCAUCUGAUAUUGCGAGAGGUCCCGUGUUCAAUCCACGGCAAGACCC